rnacentral:sRNA from 2 species
UUAUGAAGCAAAUUCCCGAUGGGAGGAGACGGUCGUCUUCGCUGCCUUGUAACCGCAAAAGACACUUUUAAGUUUAUGGGGGAAUUAAUACAAUG